rnacentral:rRNA from 1 species
AGAGUUUGAUCAUGGCUCAGGACGAACGCUGGCGGCGUGCUUAACACAUGCAAGUCGAACGGAAAGGCCCUUCGGGGUACUCGAGUGGCGAACGGGUGAGUAACACGUGGGUGAUCUGCCCUGCACUUCGGGAUAAGCCUGGGAAACUGGGUCUAAUACCGGAUAGGACUACGAAUCGCAUGGUUUGUGGUGGAAAGCUUUUGCGGUGUGGGAUGGGCCCGCGGCCUAUCAGCUUGUUGGUGGGGUGAUGGCCUACCAAGGCGACGACGGGUAGCCGGCCUGAGAGGGUGUCCGGCCACACUGGGACUGAGAUACGGCCCAGACUCCUACGGGAGGCAGCAGUGGGGAAUAUUGCACAAUGGGCGCAAGCCUGAUGCAGCGACGCCGCGUGAGGGAUGACGGCCUUCGGGUUGUAAACCUCUUUCAGUAGGGACGAAGCGCAAGUGACGGUACCUAUAGAAGAAGCACCGGCCAACUACGUGCCAGCAGCCGCGGUA